UACGGAGGGUGCAAGCGUUAAUCGGAAUUACUGGGCGUAAAGCGCACGCAGGCGGUCUGUCAAGUCGGAUGUGAAAUCCCCGGGCUCAACCUGGGAACUGCAUCCGAAACUGGCAGGCUAGAGUCUUGUAGAGGGGGGUAGAAUUCCAGGUGUAGCGGUGAAAUGCGUAGAGAUCUGGAGGAAUACCGGUGGCGAAGGCGGCCCCCUGGACAAAGACUGACGCUCAGGUGCGAAAGCGUGGGGAGCAAACAGGAUUAGAUACCCUGGUAGUCCACGCCGUAAACGAUGUCGACUUGGAGGUUGUGCCCUUGAGGCGUGGCUUCCGGAGCUAACGCGUUAAGUCGACCGCCUGGGGAGUACGAUGGCAACAUUGAA
rnacentral:rRNA from 1 species